CACUUUGGAUCGAAUUAGUGGGUCCAUACCUGAAUGAAAAGAACACGGUUAGUGACUCGAGACGCUAUGUGACACCACAACACUUCCUAUUAGACACAUGCAAGAUAUGAUUGGGUUAUUUUUACAAAAUGGCCUACGUGGCCAAGGGUGGCUAUUAGUGAAAACUCAACAAAGGUGACCUAUAACAUGGAAAUACCCCCCCUAAGACUUAUACGGCUUCAAUCUCCCAAUAAUCAUGGCCCAAAAAUUACUUUGUAGAAAUGACCCAUUUUGCGAAAAUGACCGAUAUGGCCAAAUAUGGCUAGAGACGCAAUCAUGACAAGGAUGGACCUUAAAGGAAAUGGGACACCUAGUUGUGUACUCAAGAUUCUAAGACUCGAGUCACUUAACCACUUUUGCGAAAAUGACCCCAUUUUGCAAAUUGGAUGUGGUGGCCAGAAGUGGCUAGACAUGCAAAUUCGACAAAUACAUAUUUUAAAGUAAGGAGACACCUAAUGAUGGAUUCAAGAAUCUAAGAUGUGGAUUAAUAAUUCACUUUUACGAAAAUGGUCCCAUUUUGCAAGGAUAGCCGACGUGGCCAAAAAUUGCUAGACAUGUAAGAUUCGGCUACAAUCCUCGAAGCCAAGAACUUGAGACUCACUAGGAAGAGGAGAAAGAUCGGACCCUAUGUGGUUUGCCUACGUAUCCCGCCCCGAAAGAUGAGAAUUAGGUAUGCAUAGUUCGGGAAGAUCGGAUAUGGGAGAAAGAUUUGAAAAAUGCAACUAAUUUGGGAAAAAACUAUUUUUGCCUCUUUCCUUUUUUUUAAUUCUUUUUUUUGAAAAAUAAUAAGAAAGUGUAAAAGAAAUGUGAUGACCAAAAGGGUCAUUUUGUGUUUUAGAAUCUGAAUUCGGGUUUCGAGGCCUUGAAAACCUCAUUUUAUUUCUCUUCGAUUUGCGUGUGCAGUUCGGGCAUAUUUCGCGAAAGCCUUUAUGUGAAAUAUGGGAUUUGGCGUAUGCCUGAAAUCGAAUUCCAAGGUCCUUAGCCCGACAAAUGAAUUUUUGAAGAAAAUUAUUUGCUAGAAAAUAUAAUGAUUUUUGGAAAUGGAAUAGUGUGUAAUCUCAUUGGUAUAGAGCCCGUAUUUUGGUUCUGGAGCCCGGUACAAGUUUGAUAUAGUAUUUAAGUCGAAUCUGUGAAAUUUGGUGAAAAACAGAAGAGAUUUGAUAUAAUUUAGACCAUUGGUUGAGAAAAUAGAAAUUUUGAAUUAUCUCAAGAAUUUCAUGAGUUUUGCUAUUAAAUUCAUUGUUUAAGAUAUUAUUUUGGCAAUUUGAUCGCAUGAUCAAGUCCGUACGAUAUUUUUAGACUUGUGUGCAUGUUUGGUUUGGAGCCCCGAGGGCUCGGGUAAAUUUUGGAUAGGCUACGGAGUGAUUUUGAACUUAGGGAAUUUGCUGGUAAGCUUCAAUAGAGUUGCAGGCCUCUGAUCUCGCAAUUGCGAGAUUAGGCUUCGCAUUUGUGAGCUUCACAGGCUUGGCAUUUGAGAGGCUUCCAUCGCAUAUGCAAAGGAAGCUGGGCCUGGGCAUGUUCGCAAUUGAGAACUUUUAUUUGCAUUUGCGAAGGGAACGAGGCAGGGGGAACUUCACAUUUGCGACCAAAAGGUCGCAUUUACGAUUACAGCAGAAAUGCGGAAGAGUCACAAUUGCAAUGCCUUUCUCGCAUUUGCAAGCAUUGCAAAUGCGAAGCUCUAGUCGCAAUUGCGACAUCUACAACAGUUAAGUUGGGACUUGGACGGGAUUUGGAACUCAUUUCUCAAAUUUUCAAACCCUAAGCUCCCAUAGGCGAUUUUCCAAAGGAGAGUUCUUCCCCAAAUCAUAGGUAAACGAUUUCUAACUCAUUUUCUUCAAUCAAUUUCAUCUUUUUACAUGAUUUUAUCUCAAAAUUUAGGGUUUUUCAUAGGAAAUUGGGUGUUUUUGGGUAGAAUUUAGGAAUUUCAAAAUUUGGGGAUUUGGACCUCAAAUUGAGGUCAGAUUUCAAAACUAAUUGCAUAUUUGGGUUUGUGGGUGAAUAAGUAGUAAGGUUUUGGUUCAAACUUCGAGUUUUGACCAAGCGGGCCCAGAGUUUGGUUUUGGGGGAAACAUUGGGAAAUCUAUAAUCACGCAUUAGAAUUGGUUCAUUUAGCGUUAAUUGAUGUUAAUUAUUAAUUAUGCAUAGAUACGGGCAGUUUGGAAGUGGAAAUAAAAGGAAAAGUGGUAAUUGAGGCUUGACUUUUGGCCGUGGAAUCGAGGUAAGUGUUUGGCUUAACCUUAGCUUGAGNNNNNNNNNNNNNNNNNNNNNNNNNAUGUGACUGUUGUGAAUCAUAUUAUGUAUUGUUCUUCUUUCAAUUGAUGAUUAUCCAUGUUGAACAAGUCCUAUGAUAUUUUCUCAGUAUUUGAUCAUUGUUGAGUAUUGACCCAAGUUGAGACUUAUUUUGUGAAGAUAACUGUUGAAACGAGAUUGGUUAUAGCUGAUUCCCUUGACGGGAUGUUAUUGUUUCUAUUGUUUGGGUGAAGAAAAGUGUAAAACACAAAGGGUGAUGUCGUGCACGAUAUUGUGAGAGGUGUUAAUGCAUGAAGGGUAAUGUCGUGCCAUAUUUCAGUGAGUGUUAAUGCACAAAGGGUGAUGUCGUGCCAUAUUUUUGUGAGUGGUAAUGCACGAAGGGUGAUGUCGUGCCAUGAUUUUGAUAGAGUAAAAGCAUGAAGGGUGAUGUCAUGCCGUUUCUGUUGAUUUCUAAGGUGAGGACGAGAGUAAUAGCAUGAAGGGUGAUGCCGUGCACUUUUUACUGUUAUCAUUUCUAUUGGUUCAAAGUUGAUAUUUACCUUGCUCCUCUACUUUAUUACAGUCAGAAUUUGAUAUUCGCCUCAGCAUGUUUCCCUUUUUCGUCUUUAUCUGUUCAAUUCUAUUAUUGUUGUUUCUUGUAUAUGAUAUAACUGAACAGGUUUAUAUGGUUGUCGUGUCCUAUCCUCGUCACUACUUCGCCGAGGUUAGGCUAGACACUUACAAAUACAUGGGGUCGGUUGUACUGAUAUUGCACUCUGCAUUUUUCAUGAAGAUUUCAAUGACAGACCACGUGAGAAGAUCUUGGGUUGCUGCCUUCAAUUCACAGGAGACCCAAGGUAGAUCUGCCGGGAUUUAUAGACCCCGGAGUCCCAUUCCUUCUGUUUUAGAUUUCCUGUCUCUUUUCAUUUCGAGAACAAUUGUAUUUCUUCUAAACUAGUGUUUGUAGAAAUUCUUAGAUGUUCGUGAAAUUGUGACACCAGAUCAUUGGGGUAGUCAUGUAUUAGAAUUGUUGAACUGUUAUAAUAUUUUCGCACUUUAUCUCUAUUUGGCUUUAGCUAUUAUUUAUUUCUAUUCUGGUUAAUAAUUAAUGUGAUAAAAUUGUAACUAUCGGCUUGUCUAGCUUUCAAGAGUAGGCACCAUCACGAUCUCGACGGUGGGAAAUCCGGGUCGUGACAAGUUGGUAUCAGAGCACUAGGUUGCCUAGGUCUCACAAUUCAUGAACAAUCUCAGUAGAGUCUGAGGGAUCGGUACGGAGACGUCUAUGCUCAUCCCCCAGAGGCUACAGAGUAUAGGAACAACUUCACUUCUAUUCUUCUUUGUUGUGCGAUUUGAUUUCUCAAUACUAAUUGAAAUUCUACUAUGUUCUUACGCAGAUGGAGAGAACACGUAUCGCUUCAUCAGCUGAUCAGCAGCCUGAGCCCCCAGUGGCAGUUCCUAUGAGGGGCAGAGGAUGAGGCCGAGGCGGUGAUAGAGGUCGAGGAAGGGGAAGGGUUCAGCCCAGAGCACCAGCACUAGCGGAGGGGCCUCAGGUAGAGUUUGAUGAUGAGGCUCCAGCCCAUACCGUUCCAGCAGGGCUAGCUCAGAUUCCAGAGGGGUUCAUCGCUACCCCGGUACCCAGGAUGCUCUGGUCUGUCUAGUGGGCCUUAUGGAGAGUGUCACUGAGGCAGAUACUUCCUGUAGCACUAGCCAUCUCUCAGGCUGGGGGAGGAGCACAAACUCCCGCUACUCUCACUUCGGAGCAGAUGGCUCCUCAGUUUCAGACUCUAGCAGCUCAGCCAGUUAGGGUAUUCAGCUGGGUGUUGUAGCUCAGACUGGUGAUAGAGCAGCUAUUUCUUCUGAUUCUUUGUGGAGAUUGAACAGGUUCACCAAGCUUUUCACUACUACAUAUGGCGGUACAUCUUCAGAGGAUCCCCAAGACUAUUUUGACAUCUGUCAUGAGGUUCUAUGGAACAUGGGGAUUGUGGAGACCAAUGGGGUCAACUUUGCUACUUUUCGUCUGUCAGGUUCCGCCAAGAAUUGGUGGAGGGAUUAUUGUUUGGCCAAACCAGCUGGGUCACCUACUUUGACUUGGGAUCAGUUCUCUCAGCUAUUUCUAGAGAAGUUUCUUCCUAUCACUCAGAAGGAGGACUAUCGAAGGUAGUUUGAGCGUCUCCAGUAGGGUUCUAUGAUCGUCACUCAGUAUGAGACCAAAUUUAUUGACUUGGCCUGUGAUGUUUUUCUUAUACUUCCCACCGAGAGAGAGAGAGAGGGUGAGGAGGUUUAUUUAGGGACUAGCUCAGCCUAUCAUAUUGCAGAUGGCUAAGGAGACAAUGAGAGAGAUUUCUUUUCAGGAUGCAGCCAUUGUGGCCAGGCGAGUUGAGAUGGUUUUAGCUCAGGGGAGUGGUCAGGGGUAUGAUAAGAGGCCUCGUCGUUCUAGCAGGUUCAGUGGUGCCUCGUCUGGAGGUAAUGAUUCUUUUGGUAAAGGCCAUCCUCCCAAGCCAUUUCAUUCAGCACUUCAGACUUCUCACGGUGAUUCAGGUAGCCAUGGUUCUCACAUGUAGUAUUUUGAUUAGCUACCCUACAGUGCACCACCAGCUCCUAUCAGUGCACCUCCGAUCUAGAGUUUUUAGGGUGGUUACUCCGGCCGUCAGGGUCAGCAGUCUCAGUAGCUGAGGUCUUGUUAUACAUAUGGUGAUCCGAGGCACAUUGCUAGAUUUUGCCCUCGAGUAGUUCUCAGCAUCAGGGUUCUCGUGCCGUGGUUUCGGCACCGAGUGUUCCACCGCCUACUCAACCAGCUAGAGGUAGGGGUCCGGUAGCUAGAGGUAGAGGUCGCGCUACUAGAGGUGGAGGUUAGCCAGCAGGAGGCCGUGGGUCCCAGCCCCGAUGUUAUGCUUUCCCAGCUAGGCUUGUGGCUGAGGCAUCUGAUGCCGUUAUCACAGGUAUGGUUUCNNNNNNNNNNNNNNNNNNNNNNNNNGCUACGUAUUUGGUUGUGCCUUGUGAUUCUUUGAGUUCUUAUGUAUAUGUGUCCACACCGGUAGGUGAUUCUAUUAUCGUAGAUCGUGUCAAUCACUCGUGUGUGGUUAAGGUCUUGAGACCCAUAUAGAUCUCCUACUUCUUGAUAUGGUCUAUUUUGAUGUCAUUUUGGGGAUGGAUUGGAUGUCACCUUAUCAUGCCAUAUUGGACUGUCACGCCAAGACCGUGACGUUAGCCUUGUCGGGGUUGCCUCGAUUGGAAUAGAGAGGGACUCCUGGUCAUUCUACCAGUAGGGUCAUUUCUUAUAUAAAGGCUCGGUGUAUAGUCGAGAAGGGGUGUCUGGCUUAUUUGGCUUAUGUUUGCAAUUCCAGUGCAGAGGUUCCUUCCAUGGAUUCCGUACCAGUUGUUCAUGAGUUUUCAGAGGUAUUUCCUGCAGACCGACCGGGGAUGCCACCCGACAGAGAUAUUGACUUUUGCAUUGAUUUGGCUUCGGGCACUCAGCCCAUUUCUAUCCCGCCAUACCGUAUGGCCCCGCCAGAGUUGGAAGAAUUGAAGGAGAAAUUGCAAGAUUUUCUUGAUAAGGGCUUUUUUUAGACCUAGUGUCUCACCCUGGUGUUGUUUGUUAAGAAGAAGGAUGGGUCGAUGAGGAUGUGCAUAGACUAUCGGUAGUUGAACAAAGUCACUAUAAAAAACAAGUAUCCAUUGCCGCGUAUUGAUGAUUUAUUUGAUCAGCUUUAGGGUGCCAAAGUAUUUUUGAAGAUUGACAUAAGAUUUGGCUACCAUCAGUUGAGGAUUAGGGCAUCCGAUGUCCCUAAGAUAGCUUUUCGCACUCGGUACGGGCAUUAUGAGUUUCUAGUGAUGUCAUUUGGGUUGACAAAUGCCCCAGCAGCAUUCAUGGAUUUGAUGAAUCGAGUGUUCAAGCCCUAUCUGGAUUCCUUUGUGAUUUUUUUCAUUGAUGAUAUCUUGAUCUAAUCCUGCAGCCAAGAGGAGCAUGAGCAGUACCUACGAGUCGUUCUCCAAACUCUGAGAGACAGCUGGUUAUAUGCUAAGUUUUUGAAAAGUGAGUUUUGGUUGAGUUCAGUCGUGUUCUUGGGUCAUGUUGUAUCAGCAGAAGGUAUUCAGCUAAAUCCUAAGAAGAUUGAGGCAGUCAAGGACUGGCCUAGACCUAUAUCAGCUACAGAGAUCCGGAGUUUCUUGGGUUUGGCAGGUUAUUACCGUCGGUUUGUGGAGGGGUUUUCAUCUAUAGCAGCCCCGAUGACCAGGUUGACCCAGAAGGGUUCCCAGUUAAGAUGGUCGGACGAGUGUGAGGAAAGCUUUUAGAAGCUCAAGACAGCUUUGACUACGGCGCCGGUAUUGGUAUUGUCCACAGGUUCAGGGCCAUAUACAGUGUAUUGUGACGCAUUUCAUAUUGGACUUGGUGCGGUGUUGAUGCAGAAUGGCAAGGUUAUUGCAUAUGCUUCGCGGUAGUUGAAGAUCCACGAGAAGAAUUAUCUAGUUAAUGACUUGGAUCUAGCAACCAUUUUUCACGCGCUAAAUAUUUGGAGGCUUUAUUUAUAUGGCGUGUCAUGUGAGGUGUUCACGGAUCACAAGAGUUUGCAAUACUUGUUCAAGUAGAAUGAGCUAAACUUGAUACAGAGGAGGUGGUUGGAGUUGCUGAAGGACUAUGAUAUCACCAUCUUGUAUCAUCUUGGGAAGGCCAAUGUAGUGGCCGGUGCUUUGAGUAGGAAGUCUGCCAAUGUGGGCAGCUUCCGUAUAUUCCAGUCGGUGAGAGACCGCUUGCUUUAGAUGUUCAGGCUUUAGCCAAUCAGUUCGUGAGGUUGGAUGUUUCUGAGCCCAGUAGUGUUUUAGCAUGCACAAUCGCUCGUUCUUCAUUAUUUGAGUGUAUCAGAGAUCGAUAGUAUGAUGAUCCUUAUUUUCUUGUGCUUGAGGAUGCAAUGUCGUAUUUGUGUGCCUAAUGUAGAUGGACUUCGUGAGUUGAUUCUAGAGGAGGCCCAUAGUUCCCGGUACUCUAUUCAUCUGGGCACCGCUAAGAUGUAUCAGGACUUGCGGUAGCAUUAUUGGUGGAGGAAGAUGAAGAAGGAUAUUGUUGCAUAUAUAGCUCGGUGUUUGAAUUGUCAACAAGAAAAGUACGAGCAUCAGAAACCUUGUGGUUUGCUUCAAAAGAUUGAUAUUCCUGCGUGGAAGUGGGAGCGUAUCACUAUGGAUUUCGUUGUUAGACUCCCACAGACUCAGAGGAAGUUCGAUGCAGUAUGGGUUAUUGUAGAUAGGCUGACCAAGUCAGCGCAUUUCAUUCCUGUGGCGGUUUCCUAUUCGUUGGAGCGAUUAGCUGAGAUUUGCAUCCAGGAGAUUGUUCGUCUUCAUGGUGUGCUCGUGUCUAUCAUUUCCGAUCAAGGUACGCAGUUUACCUUGUAUUUCUGAAGGGCAGUUCAGCGUGAGUUAGGUACGCAGGUCGAGUUGAGCACAAUAUUUCAUCCUCAGACGGACGGGCAGUCCGAGCGUACUAUUAAGAUUUUGGAGGAUAUGCUUCGCGCAUGUGUUAUUGACUUUGGAGGUUCUUGGGAUCAGUUCUUACCAUUAGCGGAGUUUGCCUACAACAACAGUCAUCAGCCGAGCAUCCAGAUGGCUCCCUAUGAGGCAUUAUAUGGUAGACAAUAUUGGUCGCUGGUUGGAUGGUUUGAGCCGCGAGAGGCUCGGUUGUUGGGUACAAAUUAAGUGCAGGACACAUUCGAUAAGGUUAAGAUCAUUCAGGAUAGACUUCGUACAGCUUAGUUCAGGAAAAAGAGUUAUACCGAUCGUAAGGUUCGUGAUGUGGCAUUCAUAGCCGGAGAGCGAGUGUUGCUUUGGGCGUCGCCCAUGAAGGGGGUGAUGAGGUUUGGGAAGAAGGGCAAGUUAAGCGCUAGGUUCAUUGGGCCUUUUGAGAUUCUUCGGAGAGUGGGAGAGGUGGCUUAUGAGCUUGCGUUGCCACCAUGUUUAUCAGCAGUGCAUUUAGUAUUUCAUGUGUCCAUGCUUCGGAAGUACCACGACGAUCCAUCCCACCUGUUAGACUUUAGUACUGUCCAGUUGGAUAGAGAUUUGACCUAUGAGGAGGAGCCUAUAGCUAUCCUAGACCAGCAGGUUCAUCAGUUGAGAUCGAAGAGUUAUCCUUCGGUUCGUGUUUAGUAGAGAGGUCAGCCUAUUGAGGCAGCUACUUGGGAGUCCGAGUCCGAUAUACGGAGUAGAUAUCCCCAUCUUUUCUUCGACUCACGUACUUUUCUAUGUUCGUUCGAGGAUGAACGGUUAUUUUAGAGGUGGAGAAUGUGAUGACCCAAAGGGUCAUCUUGUGUUUUAGAAUCCGAAUUUGGGUUACGAGGCCUUGAAAACACCAUUUUCUUUCUCCUCAAUUUGCGUGCAUAGUCCGGGCUCGUUUUCGGAAAGCGUUUAUGUGAAAUUUAAGAAACAAAUUUAAAUUUACCUUUAAAAUUGAUUAAGGUUGACUUUGGUCAACGUUUUUGGUAAACAGACCCGGACCUGUGAUUUGAUGACCUCGUAGAGUCCGUAGUAAAAUAUGGGACUUCGGUGUAUUCCCGGAAUCGAAUUCCAAGGUCCCUAGCCCGAGAAAUGAAUUUUUGAAGAAAAUUAUUUGCUGGAAAAUAUAAGGAUUUUUGGAAAUGGAAUAGUGUGUAAUCUCGUUGGUAUCGGGCCCGUACUUUGGUUCCGGAGCCCAGUACAAGUUUGAUAUAGUGUUUAAGUCAUAUCUGUGAAAUUUGGUGAAAAAACAGAAUUGAUUUGAUAUAAUUCGGACCCUUGGUUGAAAAAUAGAAAUUUUGAACGUACGAGCAAGUCUUGGUUUGAUUCAUUGUUUAAGAUGUUAUUUUUGCGAUUUGGUCGCACGAGCAAGUCUGUAUGAUGUUUUUAGACUUGUAUGCAUGUUUGGUUUGGAGCCCCGAGGGCUCGGUGAGUUUUGGAUAGGCUAUAGAGUGAUUUUGAACUUAGGGAAUUUGCUAGUAUGCUUCAGCAAAGUUGCAGGCCUCUGAUCUCGCAAUUGCUUCGCAUUUGCGGGCUUCACAGGCUUGGCAUUUGCGAGGCUUCCAUCGCAAAUGCGAAGGAAGCUGGGCCUGGGCAUGUUCGCAAUUGCGAACUUUUAUUCGCAUUUGCGAAGGGAACAGAGCAGGGGGAACUUCGCAUUUGCGACCAAAAGGUCGCAUUUGCAAUUACAUUAGAAAUGCGGAAGGUUCACAAUUGCGAUGCCUUUAUCGCAUUUGCAUGCUUCACAAGUGCGAAGCUCCAGUCGCAAUUACGACUUCUACAGUAGUUAAGUUGGGACUUGGACGGGAUUUUGAACUCUUUUCUCAAAUUUUCAAACCCUAAGCUCCCAUAGGCGAUUUUCCAAAGGAGAGUUCUUCCCCAAAUCAUAGGUAAACGAUUUCUAACUCAUUUUCGUCAAUCAAUUUCAUCUUUUACAUGAUUUCAUCUCAAAAUCUAGGGUUUUUCAUAGGAAAUUGUGUGUUCUUGGGUAAAAUAUAGGAAUUUCAAAAUUUGGGGAUUUGGACCUCAAAUUGAGGUUGGAUUUCAAAACCAAUUGCAUAUUUGGGUUCGUGGGUGAACGAUUAGUCGGGUUUUGGUUCAAACUUCGAGUUUUGACCAAGCGGGCCCAAAGUUUGGUUUUGGGGGAAAACAUUGGGAAAUCUAUAAUCAUGCAUUAUAAUUGGUUCAUUUAGCGUUAGUUGAUGUUAAUUAGUUAAUUAUGCGUAGAUAUGGGCGGUUUGGAAGUGGAAAUAAAAGGAAAAGCGGUAUAUGAGGCUUGACUUUUGGUCGUGGAAUCGAGGUAAGUGUUUGGUCUAACCUUAGCUUGAGGGAAUANNNNNNNNNNNNNNNNNNNNNNNNNGGUGUCGAGCAUGCAAGUGAGUCUUAUACUGUGACUGUUGUGAAUCUUAUUAUGUACUAUUCUUGUUUCAAUUGUUGAUUAUCCGUGUUGAACAAGUCCUAUGAUAUUUUCUUUGUAUUUGAUCAUUGUUGAGUAUUGACCCAAGUUGAGACUUAUUUUCUGAAGUUAACUGUUGAAACGAGAUUGGUUAUAGCUGAUUCCUUUGCCGGGAUGUUAUUGUUUCUAUUGUUUGGUGAAGAAGAGUAUAAAGCACGGAGGGUGAUGUCGUGCACGAUAUUGUGAGAGGUGUUAAUGCACGAAGGGUGAUGUCAUGCCAUAUUUCAAUGAGUGUUAAUACACAAAGGGUGAUGUCGUGCCAUAUUUCUUUGAGUGUUAAUGCACGAAGGGUGAUGUCGUACAAUAUUUUUGUGAGUGUUAAUGCACGAAGGGUGAUGUUGUUCCAUGAUUAUGAGAGAGUAAAAGCACGAAGGGUGAUGUCGUGCCGUUUCUGUUGAUUUCUAUGGUGAGGACGAGAGUAAAAGCGAUGUCGUGCACUUGUUACUGUGUUAUCAUUUCUGUUGGUUCAAAGUUGAUAUUUACCUUGCUCCUCUACUUUAUUACUGUCAGAAUUUGAUAUUCCCCUAAGCAUGUUUCCCUUUCCCAUCUUUAUCUGUUCAAUUUUGUUAUUUUUGUUUCUCAUAUAUGAUAUAACUGCACAUGUUUAUAUGGUUGUCGUGUCCUAGCCUCGUCACUACUUUGCCAAGGUUAUGCUAGACACUUACCAAUACAUGGGGUCGGUUGUACUGAUGCUGCUCUCUGCAUUUUUUGUGCAUAUUUUGAUGACAGACCUCAUGAGUAGAUCUUGGGUUGCUGCCUUCAGUCCACAGGAGAACCGAGGUAGAUCUGCCGGCGUUCACAGCCCUCGGAGUCCCAUUCCUUCUGUUUUAGAUUUCAUGUCUCUUUUCAUUUCGAGAAUAGUUGUAUUUCUUCUAAACCAGUGUUUGUAGAAAUUCUUAGAUGUUAGUAAAAUUGUGACACCAGAUCAUUGGGGUAGUCAUGUAUUAGAAUUGUUGAACUGUUAUAAUAUUUCCGCACUUUAUCUCCGUUUGUCUUUAGCUAUUACUUAUUUCUGUUCUGGUUAAUAAUUAAUGUGAUAAAAUUGUAACAGUCGGCUUGCCUAGCUAUCAAGAGUAGGCGCCAUCACGAUCUCGACGGUAGGAAAUCUGGGUCAUGACAAGUUGGUAUCAGAGGACUAGGUUUCCUAGGUCUCUCAAUUCACGAACAAGCUCAGUAGAGUCUGAGGGAUCGAUACGGAGACGUUUGUGCUCAUCCCCUAGAGGCUACAGAGUUUAGGAACAACUUCGCUUCUAUUCUUCUCUAUCGUGCGAUUUGAUUUCUCAAUACUAAUUGAACUUCUAUUCUGUUCUUACGCAGAUGGCGAGAACACGUUCCGCUUCAUCAGCUGAUCAGCAGCCCGAGCCCCCAGUGGCAGUUCCUAUGAGGGGUAGAGGACGAGGCCGAGGCCGUAAUAGAGGCCAAGGAAGGGGCAGGGCUCAGUCCAGAGUAGCAGCACUAGCGGCAGGGCCUCAGGUAGAGUUUGAUGAUGAGGCUCCAGCCUAGACCGUUCCAGCAGGGCCAGCUCAGGUUCUAGAGGGGUUCAUCACUACCCCGGUACUCCAGGAUGCUCUAGUCUGUCUAGUGGGCCUUAUGGAGAGUGUCACUGAGGCAGGCAUACUUCCUGUAGCACCAACCGUCUCUCAGGCUAGGGGAGGAGCACAGACUCCCGCUACUCGCACUCCGGAGCAGAUGGCUCCUCAGUUUCAGACUCUAGCAGCUCAGCCAAUUAGGGUAGUUCAGCCGGGUGCUCUAGCUCAAAUCGGUAAUAUAGAAGCUAUGUCUUCUGAUGCUUUGUGGAGAUUGAACAGGUUCACCAAACUUUUUACUACUACCUAUGGCGGUACAUCUUCAGAGGAUCCCCAGGACUAUUUGGACAUCUGUCAUUAGGUUCUACGGAACAUGGGGAUAGUGGAGACCAAUGGGGUUGACUUUGCUGCUUUUCAUCUGUCAGGUUCCGCCAAGAAUUGGUGGAGGGAUUAUUGUUUGGCCAAACUAGCUGGGUCGCAUUAUUUCACUUGGGAUCAUCUCUCUCAGCUAUUUCUGGAGAAGUUUCUUCCUAUCACUCAAAGGGAGGACUAUCAGAUGCAGUUUGAGCGUCUCCAGUAGGGUUCUAUGAUCCUCACUCAGUACGAGACCAGAUUUUUUGACUUGGCUCGUCAUGCUUUUCUUAUACUUCCCACCGAGAGAGAGGGUGAGGAGGUUUAUUGAGGGGCUAGCUCAGCCUAUCAGAUUUCAGAUGGCUAAGGAGACAAUGAGUGAGAUUUCUUUCUAGGAUGCAAUCAAUGUGGUCAGGCGAGUAGAGAUGGUUUUAGCUCAAGGGAGUGGUCAGGGGUCUAACAAGAGGCCCCAUAGUUCUAGCAGGUUCAGUGGUGCCUCGUUUGGAGGCAGGGAUUCUUUUGGUAAAGGCCAUCAUCCCAAGCCGUUUCAUUCAGCACUUCAGACUUAUCACGGUGCUCCAAGUAGUCGUGGUUCUCACAUGCAGUAUUCUGAUCAGCUACCCUACAGUGCACCACCAGCUCCUAUUAGUGCACCUCCGAUCUAGAGUUUUUAGGGUGGUUACUCUGGCCGUCAGGGUCAGCAGUCUCAGCAGCUAAGGUCUUGUUAUACAUAUAGUGAUCCGAGGCACAUUGCUAGAUUUUGCCCUCGAGCAGUUCUCAGCAUCAAGGUUCUCGUGCCGUGGUUCAGGCACUGGGUGUUCCACCACCUACUCAGCCAGCUAGAGGUAGGGGUCAGGCAGCUAGAGAUGGAGGUCGUGGUAUUAGAGGUGGAGUUCGGGCCGCUAGAGGUGGAGGCCAGCCAGCAGGAGGCUAUCCCAGGGAUAUAGUUCGGAGAGGUAGGUCCCAGCCCCGAUGUUAUGCUUUCCCAGCCAGGCUUGUGGCUGAGGCAUCCGAUGUUGUUAUCACAGGUACGAUUUCAGUUUGCAGUAGAGAUGCUUCAGUUCUAUUUGAUCCAAGGUCUACAUACUCCUAUGUGUCAUCUUAUUUUGCUACGUAUUUGGUUGUGCCUCGUGAUUCUUUGAGUGCUCCUGUAUAUGUGUCCACACUAGUGGGUGAUUCUAUUAUCGUAGAUCAUGUCUAUCGCUCGUGUGUGGUUAUUAUUAGGGGUCUUAAGACCCGCGUAGAUCUCCUACUUCUGGAUAUGGUCUAUUUUGAUGUCAUUUUGGGGAUGGGUUGGAUGUCACCUUAUCAUGCCAUAUUAGACUGUCACGCCAAGACCAUGACACUAGCCUUCCUGGGGUUGCCUCUAUUAGAAUGGAGAGGGACUCCUGGUCAUUCUACCAAUAGGGUCAUUUCUUAUAUAAAGGCUCGGCGUAUGGUCGAGAAGGGGUGUUUGGCUUAUUUGAUUAUGUUUGCGAUUCCAGUGCAUAGGUUUCUUCCAUGGAUUCCGUACCAGUUGUUUAUGAGUUUUCAAAGGUAUUUCCUGCUGGCCGACUAGGGAUGCUGCCCGACAAAGAUAUUGACUUUUGCAUUGAUUUGGCUCUGGGCACUCAGCCUAUUUUUAUCCCGCCAUACCGUAUGGCCCCGCCAGAGUUGAAAAAAUGGAAGGAGCAAUUGCAAGAUUUGCUUGAUAAGGGUUUUAUUAGACCUAGUGUCUCACCCAGGUGUUAUUUGUUAUGAAGAAGGAUGGGUCGAUGAGGAUAUGCAUAGACUAUCGGCAGUUGAACAAAGUCACUAUCAAGAACAAGUAUCCAUUGCCACAGAUUGAUGAUUUAUUUGAUCAGCUUUAGGGUGCCAAAGUGUUUUUGAAGAUUGACUUGAGAUAUGGCUACCAUUAGUUGAGGAUUAGGGCAUCUGAUGUCCCUAAGACAGCUUUUCGCACUCAGUACGGGCAUUAUGAGUUUCUAGUGAUGUCAUUUGGGUUGACAAAUGCCCCAGCAGCAUUCAUGGAUUUGAUGAAUCGAGUGUUCAAGCCCUAUCUGGAUUCCUUUGUGAUUUUUUUCAUUGAUGAUAUCUUGAUCUAAUCCCGCAGCCAAGAGGAGCAUGAGCAGCACCUACGAGUCGUUCUCCAAACUCUGAGAGACAGCUAAUUAUAUGCUAUAUUUUUGAAAUGUGAGUUUUGGUUGAGUUCAGUUGCGCUCUUGGGUCAUGUUGUAUCAGUAGAGGGUAUUCAGGUGAAUCCUAAGAAUAUUGAGGCAGUCAAGGACUUGCCUAGACCCACAUCAGCUAUAGAGAUCCGGAGUUUCUUGGGUUUGGCGGGUUAUUACCGUCGGUUUGUGGAGGGGUUUUCAUAUAUAGCAACCCGGAUGACCAGGUUGACCCAGAAGGGUGCCCAUUUUAGAUGGUCAGACGAGUGUGAGGCGAGCUUUGAGAAGCUCAAGACAGCUUUGACUAUGGUGUCGGUGUUGGUAUUACCCGUAGGUUCAGGGCCAUAUAUAGUGUAUUGUGACGCAUCUCGUAUUGGACUUGGUGCUGUGUUGAUACAGAAUGGCAAGAUUAUUGCAUAUGUUUUGUGGCAGUUAAAGAUUUACGAGAAGAAUUAUCUAGUUAAUGACUUGGAGCUAGCAACCAUUGUUCACGCGCUAAAGAUUUGGAGGCAUUAUUUAUAUGGCGUGUCAUGUGAGGUAUUCACGGAUCACAAGAGUUUCCAAUACUUGUUCAAGCAGAAGGAGCUAAACUUGAGACAUGGGAGGUGGUUGGAGUUGCUAAAGGACUAUGAUAUCACCAUCUUGUAUCAUCCUGGGAAGGCCAAUGUAGUGGCCGGUGCUUUGAGUAGGAAGUUUGCCAGUGUGGGUAGCUUGCGUAUAUUCCAGUCGGUGAGAAACUGCUUGCUUUGGAUGUUCAGGCUUUAGCCAAUCAGUUCGUGAGGUUGGAUGUUUCUGAGCCCCGUAGUAUUUUAGCUUGCACAGUCCCUCGUUCUUCAUUAUUUGAGUGUAUCAGAGAUCGACAGUAUGAUGAUCCUCAUUUGCUUGUCUUUAGAGACAUAGUGCAGCACGGAGGUGCCAAGCAGGUUACAGAGGGAGACGAUGGAGUUUUGAGGAUGCAAGGUCGUAUUUGUGUGCCUAAUAUAGAUGGACUUCAUGAGUUGAUUCUAGAGGAGGCCCAUAGUUCCCGGUACUCUAUUCAUCCGGGUGCCGCUAAGAUGUAUUAGGACUUGUGGUAGCAUUAUUGGUGGAGGAGGAUGAAGAAGGAUAUAUUUGCAUAUAUAGCUCGGUGUUUGAAUUGUCAGCAGGAAAAGUACGAGCAUCAGAAACCUUGUGGUUUGCUUCAAAAGAUUGAUAUUCCUGCGUGGAAGUGGGAGCGUAUCACUAUGGAUUUCGUUGUUGGACUCCCACAGACUUAGAGGAAGUUCGAUGCAGUAUGGGUUAUUUUGAAUAGGCUGACCAAGUCAACGCAUUUCAUUCAUGUGGCAGUUUCCUAUUAUUCGAAGCGAUUAGUUGAGAUUUACAUCCGGGAGAUUGUUCGUCUUCAUGGUGUGACCAUGUCUAUCAUUUCUGAUCGAGGUACGCACUUUACCUUGCAUUUUUGGAGGGCAGUUCUGCGUGAGUUAGGUACGCGGGUCGAGUUGAGCACAACAUUUUAUCCGCAGAUGGAUGGGCAGUCCGAGAGUACUAUUUAGAUUUUGGACGAUAUGCUCUGCGCAUGUGUUAUUGACUUUAGAGGUUCUUGACAUUAGCGGAGUUUGUCUAUAACAACCGUUAUCAGUCAAGCAUCCAGAUGGAUCCCUAUGAGGCAUUAUAUUGUAGACGGUAUCGGUCACCGGUUGGAUGGUUUGAGCCAGGAGAGGCUCGGUUGUUGGGUACAGAUUUAUUGUAGGACACAUUGGAUAAGGUUAAGAUCAUUCAGGAUAGACUUCGUACAGCUUAGUCCAGGCAAAAGAGUUAUGCCGAUCGUAAGGUUCGUGAUGUGGCAUUCAUAGUCGGAGAGUGAGUGUUGCUUCAGGUGUCGCCCAUGAGGGGGGUGAUGAGGUUUGGGAAGAAGGGCAAGUUAAGCCCUAGGUUCAUUGGGCCUUUUGAUAUUCUUCGGAGAGUGGGAGAGGUGGUUUACGAGCUUGUGUUGCCAUCAGGUUUAUCAGUAGUGCAUCCAGUAUUUCAUGUGUCCAUGCUUCGGAAGUACCACGACGAUCCAUCCCACGUGUUAGACUUCAGCACUAUCCAGUUGGAUAGAGAUUUGACCUAUGAGGAGGAGCCUAAAGUUAUCCUAGACCGGCAGGUUCAUCAGUUGAUAUCGAAGAGUUAUCCUUCGGUUCGUGUUCAGUGGAGAGGUCAGCCUGUUGAGGCAGCUACCUGGGAGUCUGAGUCCGAUAUGCGGAGCCAAUAUCCCCAUCUUUUCUUCGCCUCAGGUACUUUUCUAUGUCCGUUCGAAGACGGACGGUUAUUUUAGAGGUGGAGAAUGUGAUGACCCAAAGGGUCAUCUUAUGUUUUAGAAUCCGAAUUCAGGUUUCGAUGUCUUGAAAACAUCAUUUUCUUUUCUCCUCGAUUUGCGUGCACAGUCUGGGCGCGUUUCCGGAAAGCCUUUAUGUGAAAUUUAAGAAAAAAUAUUGAAAUUUGUCUUUAAAAUUGAUUAAGGUUGACUUUGGUCAAGGUUUUUGAUAAAUAGACCCGGACCUAUGAUUUGAUGAUCCCGUAGGGUCCAUAGUAAAAUAUGGGACUUGGGCGUAAUCCCGGAAUCGAAUUCCGAGGUCCCUAGCCCGAGAAACGAAUUUUUGAAGAAAAUUAUUUGUUGGAAAAUAUAAGGAUUUUUGAAAAUAGAAUAGUGUGUAAUCUCGUUGGUAUCGGGCCCGUAUUUUGGUUCCGAAGCCCGUUACAAGUUUGAUAUAGUAUUUAAGUCGUAUCUGUGAAAUUUGGUGAAAAACAGAAGAGAUUUGAUAUAAUUCGGACCCUUGGUUGAGAAAAUAGAAAUUUUGAACUAUCUUGAGAAUUUCAUGAGUUUUGGUGUUAAAUUCAUUGUUUAAGAUGUUAUUUUGGCGAUUUGAUCACACGAGCAAGUCCGUAUGAUGUUUUUAGACUUGUGUGCAUGUUUGGUUUGGAGUCCCGAGGGCUUGGGUGAGUUUUGGAUAUGCUACGGAGUGAUUUUGAACUUAGGGAAUUUGCUAGUAUGCUUCUGUAGAGUUGCAGGCCUCUGAUCUCGCAAUUGCGAGAUCAGGCUUCGCAUUUGCGGGCUUCACAGGCUUGGAAUUUGCGAGGCUUCCAUCGCAAAUGCGAAGGAAGUGCCUGGGCAUGUUCGCAAUUGCAAACUUUUAUUCGCAAUUGCGAAGGGAACAGGACAGGGAGAACUUCGCAUUUGCGACCAAAAGGUUGCAUUUGUGAUUACAGUAGAAAUGCGAAAGGUUCGCAGUUGCGAUGUCUUUCUCACAUUUGCGAGCUUCGCAAGUUCGAAGCUCCAGUCGCAAUUGCGACAUCUGCAGCAGUUAAGUUGGGACUUGGACGAGAUUUUGAACUCAUUUCUCAAAUUUUCAAACCCUAAGCUCCCACAGGUGAUUUUCCAAAGGAGAGUUCUUCCCCAAAUCAUAGGUAAACAAUUUCUAACUCAUUUUCUUCAAUCAAUUUCAUCUUUUUACAUAAUUUCAUCUUAAAGUCUAAGGUUUUUCAUGGGAAACUGGGUGUUCUUUGGUAGAAUUUAGGAAUUUCAAAAUUUGGGGAUUUUGGACCCCAAAUUAAAGUCGGAUUUCAAAACCAAUUGCAUAUUUGGGUUCGUGGGUGAAUGGGUAGUCGGGUUUUGGUUCGAACUUCGAGUUUUGACCAAGCAGACCCAGAGUCGGGUUUUUACUUUUUGGGGGAAAAUAAUGGGAAAUCUAUAAUCAUGCAUUAGAAUUGGUUUAUUUAGCGUUAAUUGAUGUUAAUUAGCUAAUUAUGCAUAGAUUCGGGCAGUUUGGAAGUGGAAAUCAAAGGAAAAACGGUAAUUGAGGCUUGACUUUUGGCCGUGGAAUCGAGGUAAGUGUUUGGUCUAACCUUAGCUUGAGGGAAUAGGUAUUGUGUCUUAUUUGCUGCGUGUUAGUGUUGAGUACGACGUAUAGGUGUGGUGACGAAUAUCUAUACGUUGGUGUAAAUCAAGUAAGUGAGUCUUAUACUAUGACUCUUAUUAUGUAAUGUCCAUGUUUUAAUUGAUGUUUAUCCAAGUUGAACAAGUCUUAUGAUAUUUUCUUGGUAGUUGAUCAUUGUUGAGUAUUGACUCAAGUUGAGACUUAUUUUGUGAAGUUAACUGUUGAUACAAGAUUGGUUAUAGCUGAUUCCCUUGUCGGGAUGUUAUUGUUUCUAUUGUUUGGGUGAGGAAGAGUGUAAAGCACGAAGGGUGAUGCCGUGCAUGAUACUGUGAGAGAGUGUUAAUGCACAAAGGGUGAUGUCGUGUCAUAUUUCUGUGAGUGUUAAUACACGAAGGGUGAUGUUGUGUCAUAUUUCUGGGAGUGUUAAUGCACGAAGGGUGAUGUCGUGCCAUGAUUAUGAGAGAGUAAAAGCACGAAGGGUGAUGUCGUGCCGUUUAUAUUGAUUUCUAUGGUGAGGACGAGAGUAAAAGCACGAAGGGUGGUGUCGUGCACUUGUUACUAUGUUAUCUUUUCUGUUGGUUCAAAGUUGAUAUUUACCUUUCUCAUCUACUUUAUUACUGUCAGAAUUUGAUAUUCCCCUCAUCAUGUUUCCCUUUCUCGUCUUUAACUAUUUAAUUAUGCUAUUAUUAUUUCUCGUAUAUGAUAUAACUGUACAGGUUUAUAUGGUUGUCGUGUCCUAGCCUCGUCACUACUUUGCUGAGGUUAGGCUCGACACUUACCAGUACAUGGGGUCGGUUGUACUGAUUCUGAACCUGUACUUUUUGUGCAGAUUACGGUGAAGGACCUCGUGAGUAGAUCUUGGGUUGUUGCCUUCAAUCAAUAGGAGACUCGAGGUAGUUCUGUCGGCGUUCGCAGACCCCGGAGUCCCCUUCCUUCUGUUUUAGAUUUCCUGUCUCUUUUCAUUUUGAGAACAGUUGUAUUUCUUCUAAACCAGUGUUUGUAGAAAUUCUUAGAUGUUCGUGAAAUUGUGACACUAGAUCAUUGGGGUAGUCAUGUGUUAGAAUUGUUGAACUGUUAUAAUGUUUCCAUACUUUAUCUUUGUUUGGCUUUAGCUAUUACUAAUUUCUGUUCCGGUUAAUAAUUAAUGUGAUAAAGUUGUAAUUGUCGGCUUGCCUAGCUUUUAAGAGUAGGCGCCAUCACGAUUCCGACGGUGAAAAAUCCCGAUCGUGACAAGAAAUCCCCUUUUUAUAUCUUUUUAGAAAACUGGGCAAGAAAAUAAAAAUACUUAAACCCUCAAUAGUCUCUCUUACUUCAUUUUCACCCUUCUUUUCCAAGCAUCAGUCCGACAAAUGUCCUUUCUAUCCUCAAAGAUGCAACAUUUAGCACAUAAGAUGAUUGAAUGUCCUUUUGGGCUGGCGGGCCCAUCUAACACAAUUUGGACAGGUUCCAUACAAAGGACAUGGUACCUAUGGCCAGGCCCUGCUAGGUCAUAAUGAUAUGAUGCAAAUAAAAAUGACCUCAAGGCUGACCUACAUUUUGGGUUCACUAACAAGGCAAUUCGGGGGAGCGUAUAGUGUCUGCUCAAACUUUUCACACACUCCAUACGUCCGACGUACCCUCCAAAAUAAGGGUGACUCAACAAAGAGUUCGUGCACACAACACUUACUAUGAGACUUAUUAUAUAAAGAACUAACUUAGGGUUAUACAAAUGAUGACAGUUAUAAAGCAGUAACACAUAAAGGAAAAACUAUAGACACAUAAACAACUAGAAAAUAAUAAAACAACAUAACAAAAUGAAAACUAAAUAAAGCAAAUAAAAAAAUAUAAAAACCUCAACCGAAUAUUCUAAAAAGCUAACAAGAUCACAGUAUCAGCUCGAACCUGCAACUCCCCAGCAGAGUCGCCAAAGCUGUCACACCCCUUUUUUCCACCUCACUUAACCCUAUUAAAAAUAAUAAAAAGAUUUGUAAAGCUCUAAAAGUGUUUUUCAAUUAGAAAGUAACAAAAUGUUUGCUAAAGGGAUUUUCAUCGCCGCUUGGCAUAUAACCUGGUGUGUCAAGCCACCAUUUAAAAAUAAUUUUCUUUUAAAUACAUAUUUGACUCUAAACCAAUUUGCACCAGAUAUUCUAGGUAAGGGGGUUCAUUUGACUCGGGGAGAAGGCGUUAGGCAUUCCCCAAGUCCCGUAACUAGUACGGUUGCAUACUUGAUCUAGUCGGCUUUUAAGAAUAUUUUAAUUAAAGUAAUGCACACAAAAAGGAAAAGCAAGCAUGAAGGAGGUUCGAGGUUGUCCUCACCUAAAUAAAUAAAUAAAAAGAGUAAGAAAAAAAAUAUUAAAAAUCCUAUAUUAACCUAUACUAUACUUCCUCCACAAUGCUCAUCACGACCUCCAAAAUAUUACAAGUUCUUCGGGGCAAUCUCCGAAUAAAUUUAACUAAUGGAACGACCUCUCGCCUCAAAACUAGUAAAACGUCCAAAUAUUGCCUACCCAAAUGUCGAUGGCCUAAACAAGCUACUAGCAGAUAAUGUAAAGAAAUAAACUAAAUAAAAGAAAAUUAAAUAACAAGAAAAUUCAAUUCAUGCUCAUUUCUUCUUAAUAAUUUUUCAUGUAUUUGACCAAACCCAAUUCCUAAAGCAUGCGUAAAAUAUUUAAUUAUCUAAUGGGCUGGCCAACCCAACCCCAUGACCCGAUUCAUUAAGACAAAACCAAAUAAAUAAACAAACACCAAACAGCUAGAACAAAGAAACAAGAAAAUGACAGUAAACAAAUAUAAAAGGAUCAAAAUAUGACGAGCCAUCGGAUUUCUGUUUGAACCCAACUGCCACCUACUCAUUCUAAAUGACCCAAAACACUAAGGAUUUCAAGUUGUCUCUUAGCACGUACAGUACUACUUUACUAAUAAGAAACCACUUUCUCAAUAAAAAACCAAUCUAUUUACAUGCCAUAAAAAGAUAAUUUAAAUGAUCCAACUUAAACAUAUUGAGAGUGCACCUAAAUACAUGUUUCUAAGGAAAGGCCUCAACAUAAUUCUCCCAGGAAUCAGACUUAUAAAAUUGGUAUAAACAUAUGAACUAUAAAGCCAAUAACCAGUGACACACAUAAUAAGAAAGCUAAUAGAUUUCCAUUUCAGUUGAAGCUUACUGGAAAACUUAUGAAAAUCACAAGGGAAUCCCCAAAAAGAAAGUAAUACGAGCUGCUUGAUUCACGAAGCUAUUUCACCACUAUAUUUAGCAUAUGACCUUAAUUAACGCGACAAGCAACCAUUUGAAACAUUAGGACUCGAGUCACACAAGUUUCUUUAUUGUUAUGCCUUUUAGGAAAGAAACAACACGUGUCCAGCAAAAUUUCAAACAUCUUUGACACAAUACUCAAAGAAGCCAAACAAUCCAGAACUUUCAACACAGACACAAUUCCUCCACAAUCAACCACGUGUUCAUCAAAAAUAUCAGUACUUCAUGUCGAUAACAAACCACAUCUGAAUUUAAACGAUGUCCAAAUGAACCAAGAAGCUAAAUACUCUCAUAUAUGACAUGAAGAUUCAAUCAGACCAGCUAUUGAAAUUCAAUUUCAAUGCCAUAGGCAAAACAACGCAAUCAAUUUAAUAAUGGUUCAUAAUUCAAUUUCAAUGCCAUAGGCAAAACAACGCAAUCAAUUUAAUAAUGGUUCACCGAUAAUUCAAACCAUUAAACAUAGACAUCGAUCUAACACUUCAUACAUGGUCAUCAAUCUAACAUCAAAAGAUCAAACAAACUGAUUGCGGCGAAUGAGAACAAAUUUCAUAACAAAAAAAUUUAUAUUGAACAUGACCAUUCCUUAUUGGUGUAUGUAUAUUGAACUUGCCAAUUGGUGUAUGUAUACUCAAUCAGAAAUCAUAUUGAACAUGACCAUUCCUUAUUCUGCUAAUGAAAUGCAUAUUAAUGGUAUUGUUACUGGCGAUACAAGUAAAAGAUGAGCUCAAGGUAGUACUCCAAAAGCUAAAGAUAGAACCAAGUAAAAGGAUGGCAGACUAAACCAAUUAGUAGCAGAUGAAGAACAUUUGGAAAGAACCAACCAAGAUACUCCAGCAUACUUAUAAAACCAUAAACAAGGCAAGUCAAACAUAUUGAAAAUUAAGUAUUUAGAUCGGGAAUAAUUCACUAGAACACUGAGACGACUUACAUGAAUAUUAAAGAAACAUACUCGAGUCAAUUCCUAACAUCCGAGUUUCAAAUACGCCCCAAACUAAUUAAAUUAUGGCUCUCGUCAUAUUUAAAUCCACAAAAAAACAGAAUGAGAAAGAGAAAGAAAAAAAACUGAAAGCUUGCUUUGAUACGUGAAAAAUCAGUAAGUACAUCGGUGAAAUAGCAAUCCAAAUCGGGCAGAACCACGAACUUGAACGGACCUCGAAUCAACCAGUAAAAAUUUCGACUCCACGCCUUGAACGAAAACUCGAGCCGGCUUCGAUCCUCAACUUAAUCACUCAACUUUAACCAUUUUGGAAAUGAAAAUUCAAUAGAAGAACUAAAGAAAAAAAAAAUGGUGUCUUUGAUUUUCUGGAAUUCUUAUGAAAAAGCCAAAAUCAAAUCACGAAUUACAGAAACCUUUUAUCUUCAAAACCCUAAGAUUUUUUUCCGAAAUUUUUGUCUCUUUUUCUUCAAAGUUUUCUGUACAAGCUCCCCCAAAAAAUUUGAAAACCAGCCCUUAUAUAACCCCCUUCUCGAACAUUCUAUCCCCUUCUCCAAGAAUUCGAGAAUUAACCCUCAAAUAUGAUUUUUACCCUUUAUUGAUGGAAAGAUCGAACAAAUGGAGGGAGCAGAUCGAAUUUUUCUCGAUCCUACGCACCCCAUUUUCCUAAUUUCGAUCUAAAGGGAUAAAAUACGAAAGGAAAAUGAAAAAGCACGUGAGGAAGAGGGAAUCUGUCAGGAGUUCGUUAGGGUUUGGUGACGUGGAAGAGGGGAGGGGACCAUGUAGGGCGAGUUUGGGUGAACUCAGUCGGUUUGGUGAGUUUUCGCGAGAUGGAGAGGCGGCAGAGGGGUGAGAGAGAUUAGGGUGGGCGGCUAAUUUAAGGAAUUAGGGUUUGGUCUUUGGAAAAA
rnacentral:lncRNA from 1 species